rnacentral:rRNA from 1 species
ACUCCUACGGGAGGCAGCAGUGGGGAAUAUUGCACAAUGGGCGCAAGCCUGAUGCAGCCAUGCCGCGUGUAUGAAGAAGGCCUUCGGGUUGUAAAGUACUUUCAGCAGUGAGGAAGGUGGUGUCGUUAAUAGCGGCAUCAUUUGACGUUAGCUGCAGAAGAAGCACCGGCUAACUCCGUGCCAGCAGCCGCGGUAAUACGGAGGGUGCGAGCGUUAAUCGGAAUUACUGGGCGUAAAGCGCAUGCAGGUGGUUUGUUAAGUCAGAUGUGAAAGCCCGGGGCUCAACCUCGGAAUUGCAUUUGAAACUGGCAGACUAGAGUACUGUAGAGGGGGGUAGAAUUUCAGGUGUAGCGGUGAAAUGCGUAGAGAUCUGAAGGAAUACCGGUGGCGAAGGCGGCCCCCUGGACAGAUACUGACACUCAGAUGCGAAAGCGU